rnacentral:tRNA from 1 species
AGUUAUUAAGCUAUAAAGCAUUAUAUCUUGAAAAUAUAAGAAAGAAAAAAAAAUCUAUUAACUU